ensembl:lncRNA
UCUCUCUGUCCACUCUCUCUCAUGCUGCACAUGUUUACGCUCUGUUGGGUGGGAAGUGCAUUUAUCUUCCUCAUCUGGCUGGGCCCCCAAACAGGACAGUUGGUUUGUCUGUGCCACCACGUGAUACCUGGCAUCAGUCUCUCUCCCAGGCUGUUGAAUACAUCUCAGCCUGGCGACUUCCUCUUGCAGCCUGGUCUGCUGCUGAAGAAGAUCAUUCCAAUAAUGUAAUUUGAUGGAUUUCUGUAGCUAACUCAUGCAGAGUUGCUAUGUAUUCCUACUGCUUUCAAUUAUUCUCUACAGUUAGACAAUUUAAAAAGAAGAGAGAUACAGUAAAUUACUAUAGUUAUAUCAUUGAUCCAAGAACCAAUUAAAAAUCUUGUGUAUCCUAAUUUCCUAUGGACUGGUAGAUUUUAUGCAUUAAAUGUUUCUGUAGAUCUUGCUACAGUUUUAUCCCCUUACUUUGAUCUCUGCCUAACUGGAGUCCUCACUGUUAUUUUAAAUGAAAUCAUGGCUUUUUGUGAACUAAAACAGACUUCACACAAUUCUUGCAGUUGAUUGUGUGAAGGAUCCCAGGUGGACUGACUGAAGUAGUAAGUGUUCCAAGUUAAAACCAUUGUGAGCUUCCCCUUUUAUCUUAAAGUAGAGCUAACCUUAAAGCUUAGUCAUAGCUAUUUAAAUGCUAAAAGUACCGAAUAACUAGCUAAAAGAGAAGUACCUGUUAGAGAAUUGUCAUUAUGAGAAAAAGCAGAUGGAACAAGUUUUGAUCCAGAAUCUGGUCAGGAAAAUAACUUCAUAGAACAAACUUAGUCUUUGGAUACCAGAGGAGGCUACUGCAAAUGUAGGGUUCUUAGUCCCCGUUAUUUUUCAGUCAAUGCAAAUUUUAAUGAACAUAUGAACAUGUCCUUGAUUUUGAGAACCAUUUUAUAUAACAGGUCUCCCUUUUCCUAACCCAUUAAGAGUUGAUGUGCCUGUACACAGUUAAGGUAACAUAAUGAUUUAAUUGUCUAGCACCACCUGCAGAUCAGAUGCCUGAUACAGCUGGGGUCUUUUGACGCAAUUAUACUGCACCUGCAUCAAUUUGCCAAGGCAGUGUUCCAGCAUACCAAAAAAAACAUAAUAAAAAUAAUAGUCCAGCUUCUAAAAUCCAUCCACAGAAAAAACACAGAACGACUAGAGAAGGGUCACAGAAAACUAUUUCUUCUGGACCUCCAGAGCAUGAAAAACAGAAUUUUCAUUCACCAACAACCUAUGUUAAAUUUAAACAGUGGGAGACAGAAAAAGUCAAACCUUUGUAAUUUGUAGUUAUGUUUAGUAAGGGUAGUAAUUGCAAAACCUAGAACACAGCGGGUUUAAAUGACUGUGGCUCUUCCUAUCUGGCUUAACAUAUCUUACUGAUGCAUUCCGUCAUUCACAAGUUCUACUGACUGUUAGAAACUUAAACAAAUGAGUCCAGUACAUAGAGGAUCUGAAAAGUAAGAAACUUGAAGAGUAAGAAAUUAUCAAAAGGGAUAGAAAGAACCCUUCCUUUAUCUAAAUCCUACUUUCAGUACAUGGGAAACUUUCCUUUUUUAAAGAAUGUUAUCAAAAAUUACUGUAUUAAAAAUGGAAGUUUGGUUAGGCCAAAGACAUGUCUGCACAUUUCAGGAAAGAUUUCAGUAACAUUACUCUUGUUAUAUUCAGUAAAUAUUUUGAUGAGAACACCAUGAAAUUGGUGCAAAGGAAGAACUCCCAAAACACUAUUAAUCUUCUGUUUGUAAAAAAAGAAAAUCCCCACACUCUGCUGCCAGAUGACUAUGAAUGGACAUGUUAAAAGUAAUUACAUUAGCUACGUUAAAAACACAAUUUCUGUCAG